CCUACGGGAGGCAGCAGUGGGGAAUAUUGGACAAUGGGGGGAACCCUGAUCCAGCCAUGCCGCGUGUGUGAUGAAGGCCCUCGGGUUGUAAAGCACUUUCAGUGAGGAAGAACGCCUGGUGGUUAAUACCCAUCAGGAAAGACAUCACUCACAGAAGAAGCACCGGCUAACUCCGUGCCAGCAGCCGCGGUAAUACGGAGGGUGCGAGCGUUAAUCGGAAUUACUGGGCGUAAAGCGCGCGUAGGUGGCUUGAUAAGCCGGUUGUGAAAGCCCCGGGCUCAACCUGGGAACGGCAUCCGGAACUGUCAAGCUAGAGUGCAGGAGAGGAAGGUAGAAUUCCCGGUGUAGCGGUGAAAUGCGUAGAGAUCGGGAGGAAUACCAGUGGCGAAGGCGGCCUUCUGGACUGACACUGACACUGAGGUGCGAAAGCGUGGGUAGCAAACAGGAUUAGAUACCCUAGUAGUC
rnacentral:rRNA from 1 species